rnacentral:rRNA from 1 species
AGCGAACGCUGGCGGCAGGCCUAACACAUGCAAGUCGAACGAACUCUUCGGAGUUAGUGGCGGACGGGUGAGUAACACGUGGGAACGUGCCUUUUGGUUCGGAAUAACUCAGGGAAACUUGUGCUAAUACCGAAUGUGCCCUUCGGGGGAAAGAUUUAUCGCCAUUAGAGCGGCCCGCGUCUGAUUAGCUAGUUGGUGAGGUAACGGCUCACCAAGGCGACGAUCAGUAGCUGGUCUGAGAGGAUGACCAGCCACACUGGGACUGAGACACGGCCCAGACGCCAGCGGGAGGCGGGGGGGGGGCAGUUUGAGCACGGGGAGAAGCCAGGACGCAGCCAGGUGGUGUGAGAGAUGAAGGUCUAAGUUUAUAAAAUCUCUGCCACGGGGGGGCAAAAGGACGGGACCGGGAGAAGCAGACCCGGUGACCGUGGGGCCAGCAGACGCGGAAUAAUAAGAAGAGACUACGUUUGCAU